AAGCAAGUUAUUCGAGCGCGCGAUUCUCAUAUUAAAGCUCGUUCAAACCCUAGACUCAUUUUUUUAUCAAACGAAACUCAAACACAGUUUCGAAAGCUCGAUAAAUAUUCGCGCAAGGUUAAGUUACAAUUAACGUGCUUUCUUAAAGCAAAUUACGCGUUUGCUUUACCAAUAUAUGAUAUAUGACAGAACUUUUAAUCUGUUUGUGGAAAGAAC
rnacentral:lncRNA from 1 species